rnacentral:rRNA from 1 species
GUAGGGGGCGAGCGUUGUCCGGAUUUACUGGGCGUAAAGCGCGCGUAGGCGGCCCGUUAAGUCGGAUGUGAAAACCCAGGGCUCAACCCUGGGCCUGCAUCCGAUACUGGCGGGCUCGAGGCAGGUAGGGGAGAGCGGAAUUCCCGGUGUAGCGGUGAAAUGCGCAGAUAUCGGGAGGAACACCGGUGGCGAAGGCGGCUCUCUGGGCCUGUCCUGACGCUCAGGCGCGAAAGCUAGGGGAGCAAACAGGAUUAGAUACCCUGGUAGUCCUAGCUGUAAACGUUGGGUGCUAGGUGUGGGGCGGGGAUCGACCCGUUCUGUGCCGAAGCUAACGCAUUAAGCACCCCGCCUGGGGAGUACGGCCGCAAGGCUAAA